CAGGCUGUGUUCUCUGUUCCCCGGAGCCCACUCUGGACCCCAUGGCUUUAGACAGAGGGUGAAAUUGAGGGUGGUGGGAAGGAGCUGGGGAAGGGGGUGUGGCUGGGGUGUGGGGCGUAGUUGGAACUUCGGGGCGAUAGACCUCAGGACACAAAGUAUGGAGGAGGAGGCAGGUCCCGUGAGGGGCGUGGUUAGGGUGCCUGGGCGGGGCCAGAAUUCUAGUGGACUGAGUUAAAACAUGGGACGCUGUUAGGGUGUGGGAUGCAACCAAGAGCAGAUUUAGGCGGGAAUCCCUAACGCUGUUAGGGGGCGCAGACAGCGGCGGAGGGCGUGGUUUAUAAUACGGUGUUCAAACCAGUGGCGUGAGGAGAAAAGAGGUGGGGCCUGGACUGGAGAUGGAGGAUAAUCGAAUGCUGGAGUAGAGUCUGACUUGGAGAAGGCAAGUUAGAAUUGGGGCAGGACUGCGGCUGAGGGGCAGGACCUAAACAAGGCCUGAGCUUGGGCAAGAGAGUGGCGGAGCUAUAUGCCUGGAAGAAGUCUGAGUUCUGAAAGGAGACGGGGUUAGGACGCGGGAAGAAGGACAGGGAAAGAGGAGAGUGGAGCUACGCGCUGGGGCGCGUAUAACACCAAGCCUGGCAGGAGUCGGCUGGGCCGGACCCUGCAUUUGAGAAAAAUCGAGGAUGGACCGCCGGCCAGCUCCUCCACCCAGGAUGCGUCUUUCGGGAUUGGGCUCUGGCUCCUCUUCGUGACAUCGCCUAGCGUCUCCGGAGCCAUCAUCCUGAAGAAUGGGGGGCAAAGGGGAGCUGGUUCUGGGCCUCGCCCCUAGCAGCUCCUCCGCUGUCAGGCCGGGUCCUCUUCCAUCUGGCAGACCCCAUCCUGACCUCCGCCUCCUGAUCCUCCCUCAGGAUUCUGAGCACAGAGCCCUCAGCCCGCCCCGCCUCCUCCCUGAAUCUCCGUGUUCAUUGUCCGCCUGCAAUAAACUCCAGCCCCAACUGCC